ensembl:lncRNA
GUGUGACCUGAGGGACAAGUGUGUGACCUGAGGUAGGAAGGCAAGGGUGUGUGUGUGUGUGUGUGUGUGUGUGUGUGUGUGUGUGUGUGUGUGUGUGUGUGUGUGUGACCUGAGGGGGCAAGGAUACAUUCUUGAGAAAUAUGCAGGGAGCAGGGACGCUAAAGGUUAGCAGGGACGCUAAAGGUUAGCAGAGACGCUAAGGGUUAGCAGGGACGCUAAGGGUUAGCAGGGACGCUAAAAACACUAAGGGUUAGCAGGGACGCUAAGGGUUAGCAGAGAAGCUAAGGGUUAGCAGGGACACUAAGGGUUAGCAGGGACGCUAAAGACGCUAAGGGUUAGCAGGGACGCUAAGGGUUAGCAGGGACGCUAAACACACUAAGGGUUAGCAUGGACGCUAAGGGUUAGCAGGGACGCUAAAGACGCUAAGCGUUAGCAGGGACGCUUAGGGUUAGCAGGGACACUAAAGACGCUAAGGGUUAGCAGGGACGCUAAAGACACUAAGGGUUAGCAGGGACGCUAAGGACACUAAGGGUUAGCAGGGACGCUAAGGGUUAGCAGGGACGCUAAAGACGCUAAGGGUUAGCAGGGACGCUAAGGACACUAAGGGUUAGCAGGGACGCUAAAGACGCUAAGGGUUAGCUGGGACGCUAAGGGUUAACAGGGACGCUAAAGACACUAAAGCAGCUUGCACACUGCCCCGACAAACGCCAACAUUCUCCAACUAACGCCAACAAACACCAACAGUCGGGUCAGUGUGCGCCGGCAGUUGGUGUUAGUUGGAGAAUGUUGGCGUUAGUCGGGUAUUGUCGGAAGAGUUCAACAUGUUUAGUCGGAUCGGGUCGGAUCGGGUAAAGUUUCCAACGAACUCCAACAUUCUGACAGCUCAUUACCUUGACAACUAGGCUAAACUUGCGUGCAUAACAUCCUCGAGCUCUCUUGGAUGUCGAAGUUAUGGUGGUUAUCAGCCAGUUUGUUAAAAAAACGACAUCCUAAAUCUAUUUUUAGAUUAACUUUAUGUAUUAUCUUCCCCAAACGAACGGUUUUCGAGACAUAUAUUAGUCUAUUUCAACUUCUACGACUCGUUUAACACUGCAAGAAAACAUGUUUCUAAAUAUUGUAACAAAUCACGGAAGCGUGAAAUAUUUGUUAUGGCUUUUUAUUAAACACUAAACACAACACAAUGUUAAAAUGGCACGGGCUUUAUGCCCUGGUACAAGUUAUCACGAACAGACUGUGCUACCGUCACACACCUGUAUAACCUCUGUCCCAACACAGAACAACGACAUGUAAUUAGAACGGUAAGGAACAUUGUUAGGGAACAUCAUUGAGCGCUAGUGCAUCACAUAGAGAUACAGUAUGCGCCCACAGGCACCGUUCUUGUUAAGGCCAGAAGUGGCAGGACAAGAAAAAUAUUGGAGGCAAAGGCAAAGGAUGGUCAGAAUGGUCAAAGACUACCAUCAGACCACCUCCAAAGUGCAAUUCAGCGCACCUUGCACAAAGAACAGCUGUAUGAGAGAGUGAUGCGGACGAAGCCAUUUCUGGACACACGCCACAAACAAGCUCCCUUAAGCUAUA